AUUUGUGACCCGUUGCCGUGAGAACAGGACAACCAAUGGAGCACAAACAAAAAUUUUAUUAGGUACACCCCAUUUGCCGCCAGAACAGCCUGAAUUCUUCGGGGGCAUUCUACACGGUGUCGGAAAAGUUCCACAGAGAUGUUGGUCCAUUCUGGCUCGAUGGACGGCGCUACAAUCAUGCUGCGAACAGCCGGUUUCAUCUCAUGAUCCAUUUGGGUUGAGGUCUUGGGUGACUGCACAGGCCACUCAGCUGAUAGAAGUUGAACCCGGUGUGGUCGUCUCCAUCCCAUCCAGGACAGACGAGAUGGCAUUCUGCACACCACUGUUGCACAGCUCCGUUAUUUGCCUGUUUGUGGACCGCCUGUUAGCUUGCAGGGACUCUUGUCCUUCUCCUUCGACCUCUCAUCAACGAGCUGUUUUCACCCACAGGACUGCAGCUGACUGGAUGUUUUUUUGUUUGUUGCACCAUUCUCAGUAAAAACCUAGACACUGUCGUGCUUGAAAAGCCCAGUAGGGCGACCGUUUCUGAGAUACUGGAUCUGGCGAGCCCGGCACCGAGGGGAGGGUUUCUUCGGUGUGUCUGUGCUAUUCAUUCACACCAAACAAGUUCAGUAGUGAGUACAGCGAGGUUAGCUACGUUAGCAUUGCUAUGGAGAGAACAGAGUUUUGAAGUUGAGGACUUCUCCUCCUGACGGACUCACCGUCUCAAAAUGGUCAGCUAAUUCAGUUGUACGUGUAGGCUAAAGCCUGCACUGACGUUGUGUUGAG
rnacentral:lncRNA from 1 species